rnacentral:tRNA from 1 species
CCUCCGGUAGCUCAGUUGGUAGAGCGGUGGACUGUAGAUCCAUAGGUCGCUGGUUCGAAUCCGGCCCGGAGGA